rnacentral:tRNA from 3 species
GCCGUCUUAGCUCAGUUGGCCAGAGCACGUGACUUGUAAUCUCGGGGUCGUCAGUUCGAAUCUGACAGACGGCU